CCCCUUUCUUCUGUAUUUGUAUAACUUUAGGUGGCUGUCUUUGUUGAAAGUUUUUUCUGAAAAACCUUAAAACAGAAUAUAGUUCUUGGCAGCAAUUUCAGAAUUAUUUGAGGGCAAGGGGAGAUUUGUAAUGAUGAUUCAAAUGAAGCAAACUAAAAAAUAAUGAAGCAAGACAGAGGAUAAAACAGUAUUCACUCGAGCACAUCCCAAAAAAAUAAAAUUUCAGAUGUAACUAGAAAAAGGUAUGCUGAUGAUCAUAAUACAGGAAUAAUUAUUAAUACUCAAAAUAGUUUUAAAGCCACUUACCUUUUGAAUGUUGGGAAUUGACUAGGAGGUGGCUGUAACCUAAGAUGAUUCCUUCAGUAAUGACCAUUUUCUUUUUCAAGAUGAUGAUUAUUCUCCAUCUUCUAAGAGACCAAAGACCAACGAGCCACCAGUUCCAGAACCUGCCAAUGUUGGGCAACAGAAAGUGAGGGAGUUCAACUCUGAUCUUUGUCUCCUUGGAGGCCCUCACAAUCCAGUGGAGGAAGUGAAACUCAUCUGCCUCUGUCCCUCUGGGUGCGCCUCAUGCCAGGUGCAUCUGUGGACAUGCGCCAUGCUACUGGGCUUCCAAAGUUGGAGAAAGUUGCCAGGCUCAGGUGGGUACAUCAGAGUAGCUGCUGCCCUCUGGACACAGUGACAAAAGAACACUCUGGGCCUAGAGCCCUGGUCUGG
rnacentral:lncRNA from 1 species